CGCGGCCUAUCAGCUUGUUGGUGGGGUAAUGGCCUACCAAGGCGACGACGGGUAGCCGGCCUGAGAGGGUGACCGGCCACACUGGGACUGAGACACGGCCCAGACUCCUACGGGAGGCAGCAGUGGGGAAUAUUGCACAAUGGGCGCAAGCCUGAUGCAGCGACGCCGCGUGAGGGAUAACGGCCUUCGGGUUGUAAACCUCUUUCAGUAGGGAAGAAGCCGUGAGGUGACGGUACCUGCAGAAGAAGCGCCGGCUAACUACGUGCCAGCAGCCGCGGUAAUACGUAGGGCGCAAGCGUUAUCCGGAAUUAUUGGGCGUAAAGAGCUCGUAGGCGGUUUGUCGCGUCUGCUGUGAAAAGCUGGGGCUUAACCCUGGCCUUGCAGUGGAUACGGGCAGACUAGAGGUAGGUAGGGGAGAAUGGAAUUCCCGGUGUAGCGGUGAAAUGCGCAGAUAUCGGGAGGAACACCGGUGGCGAAGGCGGUUCUCUGGGCCUCACCUGACGCUGAGGAGCGAAAGCGUGGGGAGCGAACAGGAUUAGAUACCCUGGUAGUCCACGCCGUAAACGGUGGGUACUAGGUGUGGGUUUCCUUCCUUGGGAUCUGUGCCGUAGCUAACGCAUUAAGUACCCCGCCUGGGGAGUACG
rnacentral:rRNA from 1 species